GAAGUUCUAGGGUUUUGACGAACAGACGAAGGUCUCCUCUCUCUGAGGCGAGUGGGAAGGGCGCAAGGUUGAGAGAAUCUUCGGGCAUCGGCGACUUGGAAACUGGAAAUUGAAACUUAGAGCAAUUCAUUUGUUCACUGUGAAUUUGAACUGUUCUUUAUUAUCCAAGUCCAUCCAUGCUCACUGAUUUUCUCAUCUCUUCUACCUUUCCCUUCUCCCUUGCGGUCAUGAUCACGUAUCUUAUUUUGUGUCGAAAUUAGUCCUGCUUGUGAAUCUUAAAACUUCACACACAAGGUAGACAAAACUGCAAUGAAAAUAAUCACAGAUGAAGGAGAACUGGAGAAGGUUGUUUGUUGGCAACAACACUAUCUGAGUAUGGUGGUUCUGGUGCAUGAAAGGGGCGGUGUUCCAUACGGCAACUGCAGUAUGGAGAGUCAUCAAUCAUUGCCUGCUUGUUCUCAAAAGCUCGGGUUAUGAUUUUGGCCCUAUUGGUUGGUAUGGUUUGAGAUAUGUUAUAUCGCAACAGAUGUGGAUUCCAUUCAAACUGACCAACAUAGUUGUAGACUGAGAUACUUUCUAUUGAUAUGAGAAACAAUUUAAGGUUUA